GAUGAACGCUGGCGGCGUGCCUAAUACAUGCAAGUCGAGCGAACAGAUGAGGAGCUUGCUCCUCUGACGUUAGCGGCGGACGGGUGAGUAACACGUGGAUAACCUACCCAUAAGACUGGGAUAACUUCGGGAAACCGGAGCUAAUACCGGAGAAUAUAUUGAACCGCAUGGUUCAAUAGUGAAAGACGGUUUUGCUGUCACUUAUAGAUGGAUCCGCGCCGCAUUAGCUAGUUGGUAAGGUAACGGCUUACCAAGGCAACGAUGCGUAGCCGACCUGAGAGGGUGAUCGGCCACACUGGAACUGAGACACGGUCCAGACUCCUACGGGAGGCAGCAGUAGGGAAUCUUCCGCAAUGGGCGCAAGCCUGACGGAGCCACGCCGCGUGAGUGAUGAAGGUCUUCGGAUCGUAAAACUCUGUUAUUAGGGAAGAACAAAUGUGUAAGUAACUAUGCACGUCUUGACGGUACCUAAUCAGAAAGCCACGGCUAACUACGUG
rnacentral:rRNA from 1 species